AGGCGCCUCCACAAGGGAUAUUUUUGUUGAAUGAGUGGAGCCAUUUCUCCCCUGUCUGCAUGGCUACUCACCAAGGCCAAGGGUCUGGACAGAGGGUCAUUUUUAUUUCCUCCACCCCUUCGGCUGCACCUUCAGCAUCUGGAGGCCACCCACUGGGCCCUGGGCUUCAGCUCUUAUGCCUAAGGGAGGGUGUGGCUGGGUGGGUGAGCCACCUCCUCAGGGGAGGCGUCCGGAGUGGGCAUGUGUGGGGGCAGGCAGGCUGGCCCUGCUUCCUCUACACACGGGCUUUCUUGUUAAAUGGCAGGUUGAACUUGGUGAAGGACUGAUCUGCCAGGAGACAAGGGCAGAUGAUUUUGGUAAAUCCCCCGCCCCAUACACCUUGAAGAGUGGAAGUUCCUUCCGUCCCUGGGGCAGAUGAGACUGUACAAAGUACUUUCCUUCAAAAGGUUUUCAUUUUGAGUCUUUUCUGAAGCAUUUAAUUCACUUUUAUUAUUUAAAGGAAAAAAAAAAAACGUGUUUCAUCCAGAGUUAUGCCCAAGUGAGUAAAAUGAAUUUUCUGUGGGGGAUAUAGCUCCCCAGAUCAUGAAAAAUAAUUUUUUUUCCAGUUAACCACGCAAAUAAAACCAAGAGAGCACCAAGCAUCAAAAAUAAUCCCCAAAUAUCCAGGACAAAAAAUAAAAUAUUUAUUGAUCUAUCA